UUAGCACUAGCAAGUUUAGCAUGAGUCAACUCAUUAAUUCUAGAUAGGAAGAGAGGGAGAGAGAAGUAGUUGCUUGACAGAAACAUUUCCUUGCAACUAAUUGGAUAAGGGAAGUUGUCAGUCGUGACUCGCAUUCGGACAUAAAAGUGAAAACCUCGUUUGAAGUUUGCUUCUGAAAGUUGUUGGAAAGGAAAUAUCUCGGAGAUUAGACAUGCAAUGAAUAACGGUGGAAAAAAAAAUUUGAAGAAAAUGCUCAUUAUAUUAGCAUACAUAUAUUUAAAAGAUAGUGAAUAGAGAAUUAGUAUAAAGUCAUACAUUUUACAAUUCUUAAUUUGUCUCCUACCUCAUUCAUUAAAGGAUUAAUUCUGAUUAAGGAGAGACGAAUCUCUGGAUUACACGCUCCUUUGGCGCAGUUUCCGUCUACAAAAUCCACUCACAAGACUUGGUCGACCUGAGAUUGUAGUAGAAGAUACUUGCCCAAGUUGCCACGCAAUGAGACUGAACCUGGAACCAUGUGGUUGGGAAGUAAACUUCUUACCACACAGCCACGCCUGCACCAUAAUAAUAACAAGUCAUUUGACUGCGGCCAUGCUGGAGCACCGCCUUCAGUCGAAGAAAUCGAUGCUAGUACUUAUUCUUUGUAAGCCCAGUACUUAUUCUAUCGGGGUCUUUUGCCAAACCGCUAGUUUAC